CCUACGGGUGGCAGCAGUAGGGAAUAUUGCUCAAUGGGGGAAACCCUGAAGCAGCAACGCCGCGUGGAGGAUGAAGGUUUUCGGAUUGUAAACCUCUUUUGUUAGAGAAGAUAAUGACGGUAUCUAACGAAUAAGCACCGGCUAACUCCGUGCCAGCAGCCGCGGUAAUACGGAGGGGGCAAGCGUUAUCCGGAUUCACUGGGCGUAAAGGGAGCGUAGGCGGGAUAGCAAGUCAGAAGUGAAAUCCUAUGGCUUAACCAUAGAACUGCAUCUGAAACUGUUAUUCUAGAGUAUGGGAGAGGUAAGUGGAAUUCGUGGUGUAGGGGUAAAAUCCGUAGAGAUCAAGAGGAAUACUCGUUGCGAAGGCGACCUGCUAGAAUAUAACUGACGCUGAUGCGCGAAAGCGUGGGGAGCAAACAGGAUGAGAUACCCGGGUAGUC
rnacentral:rRNA from 1 species